rnacentral:miRNA from 1 species
GUUAGGGCCAACAUCUCUUGG